GACGAACGCUGGCGGCGUGCUUAACACAUGCAAGUCGAACGGAAAGGCUCCUGCUUGCAGGGGUACUCGAGUGGCGAACGGGUGAGUAACACGUGGGUGAUCUGCCUUGUACUCUGGGAUAAGCUUGGGAAACUGGGUCUAAUACCGGAUAGUAGCCGCCUUUAGUGUGGUGGUUGGAAAGUUUUUUCGGUGCAAGAUGAGCUCGCGGCCUAUCAGCUUGUUGGUGGGGUAAUGGCCUACCAAGGCGUCGACGGGUAGCCGGCCUGAGAGGGUGUACGGCCACAUUGGGACUGAGAUACGGCCCAGACUCCUACGGGAGGCAGCAGUGGGGAAUAUUGCACAAUGGGCGGAAGCCUGAUGCAGCGACGCCGCGUGGGGGAUGACGGCCUUCGGGUUGUAAACUCCUUUCGACAGGGACGAAGCUUUUUGUGACGGUACCUGUAUAAGAAGCACCGGCUAACUACGUGCCAGCAGCCGCGGUAAUACGUAGGGUGCGAGCGUUGUCCGGAAUUACUGGGCGUAAAGAGCUCGUAGGUGGUUUGUCGCGUCGUCUGUGAAAUUCCGGGGCUUAACUCCGGGCGUGCAGGCGAUACGGGCAUAACUUGAGUGCUGUAGGGGAGACUGGAAUUCCUGGUGUAGCGGUGAAAUGCGCAGAUAUCAGGAGGAACACCGAUGGCGAAGGCAGGUCUCUGGGCAGUAACUGACGCUGAGGAGCGAAAGCAUGGGUAGCGAACAGGAUUAGAUACCCUGGUAGUCCAUGCCGUAAACGGUGGGCGCUAGGUGUAGGGGGCUUCCACGUCUUCUGUGCCGUAGCUAACGCAUUAAGCGCCCCGCCUGGGGAGUACGGCCGCAAGGCUAAAACUCAAAGGAAUUGACGGGGGCCCGCACAAGCGGCGGAGCAUGUGGAUUAAUUCGAUGCAACGCGAAGAACCUUACCUGGGCUUGACAUACACCAGAUCGCUGCAGAGAUGUAGUUUCCCUUGUGGUUGGUGUACAGGUGGUGCAUGGUUGUCGUCAGCUCGUGUCGUGAGAUGUUGGGUUAAGUCCCGCAACGAGCGCAACCCUUGUCUUAUGUUGCCAGCAUUUUAGUUGGGGACUCAUGAGAGACUGCCGGGGUUAACUCGGAGGAAGGUGGGGAUGACGUCAAAUCAUCAUGCCCCUUAUGUCCAGGGCUUCACACAUGCUACAAUGGUCGGUACAACGCGCGGCGACACUGUGAGGUGGAGCGAAUCGCUGAAAGCCGGCCUUAGUUCGGAUUGGGGUCUGCAACUCGACCCCAUGAAGUCGGAGUCGCUAGUAAUCGCAGAUCAGCAAUGCUGCGGUGAAUACGUUCCCGGCCCA
rnacentral:rRNA from 1 species